CUGGGCCUGGACCUCCCGUGAGGGGGAUUCGGAGCCUGGCGGGUGGGAGGUGGCCCCGGGCGCAGCGUGCCAGCAGCCCUGUGGUGUCUCGCUGGUGAGCUGGAGACAUGGGAACCCACCGGGCGGGAGGGUGGAAAGCGAUGGCGUGGCCUUGCCCGGGUUUGGUCCGGGAGGGACGUUCUAAUCCCGAGGCAAAGAGGGCCAAGCCACUGCCUCCAGUCUCCCAUUUCCCCACCAGCUGCAGCCCUGCAGUGAGCAGAAGCAAGAGGCCCACAGUCCCAUCUCGCUGCUGUGCAGGCACUCAACAACGAUGCUCUCUGUCAUAAGGCAGAACUUCCAACUGAAAAGCUGUUUGUUUUUCUUACUUGUCUGUGUUAAACAUUCCUCUUAUGAGCGAUUUUUAAUAUUUGCUAAAUAUGCUUUAAUUACUGCUCGGAACUGUCUCUGUGAUCUUUUAACUAUGUCAUAAAAGGAGUUUAUAUAGCAAUUAAAAACAGGUUUUACCCCAGAGCAUGCA